GAUGAACGCUGGCGGCGUGUCUAAGGCAUGCAAGUCGAACGGACUGUUAUUUGUAGCAAUACUUAGAACAGUUAGUGGCAAACGGGUGCGUAACACAUUGGUAACCUGCCUCAAAGUCGGGCAUAAUCCCGCGAAAGUGGGACUAAUUCCACGAUGGUCAUCGAAGGUGAGAUUCCUUCGAUGUAAAGUCGCAAGACGCUUUGAGAGGGGCCUAUGGCCUAUCAGCUUGUUGGUGAGGUAACGGCUCACCAAGGCUAUGACGGGUAGGGGGUGUGAGAGCACGACCCCCCUCACUGGGACUGAGACACUGCCCAGACACCUACGGGUGGCUGCAGUCGAGAAUAUUCCCCAAUGGCCGAAAGGCUGAGGGAGCGACGCCGCGUGCAGGAAUAAGGCCU
rnacentral:rRNA from 1 species